rnacentral:rRNA from 1 species
GACGAACGCUGGCGGCGUGCUUAACACAUGCAAGUCGAACGAAGUGGCGAACGGGUGAGUAACGCGUAAUCAACCUGCCCUUCAGAGGGGGACAACAGUUGGAAACGACUGCUAAUACCGCAUACUGAGGGAGGGGAUUGCGUCUGAUUAGCUAGUUGGAGGGGUAACGGGCCACCAAGGCGAUGAUCGGUAGCCGGGCUGAGAGGGUGUACGGCCACAAUGGGACUGGGACACGGCCCAGACUCCGACGGGAGGGAGCAGUGGGGAAUCUUCCGCAAUGGAAGAAAGUCUGACGGAGCAACGCCGCGUGAGUGAUGACGGCCUUCGGGUUGUAAAGCUCUGUUAAUCGGGGCGCGGUACCGGAAUAGAAAGCCACGGCUAACUACGUGCCAGCAGCCGCGGUAAUUC